UAGUAGGCAGUCCUGUGGCCCUGAAACAUGUGGGAGUGGCUGUUUUUAACUUGAAUCUAUUCCUUUCAAUGGGAGGGAGCUACUGAAAUGAACGUGUAGUUUAUAAACGACAUUAGGACCUCAAAUUAAGUUGUUGAGCCACGAGGGCGAUAACCUUUAACAAAUUUGACCAGAAAUUUCUAGAAUCUGCAGAAGAAUUGGACAAGUUAAGAAAUGGAUUGAUAUGUAUAUAGAAGUUAUGGCACAUUUGAAUGAAAUGAUCCUUCUUCCGCCCAUAUGUCAACCUGAGGAAAAAGAUGUCAAACUUGCCUUGAUCAAAGAUAGAAUGAAAAAUUGCUAUUUCCCUACCUUUGAGAAAGCCCUGAAAACCAGAAUCAGCAACCUCCCCACAGUGAAGAAGUUUCUGCAGCCUGGCAGCCAGAGGAGGCCUCCCGUAGAUGUGAAAGCUUUAGAAGAAGCAAGGAAGACUUUCAAGGUUUGAAAAAGAAGCCAUCGAGGCCAAGCACAUGCAAGACCAAUUUUCUAAAGUUCUGCAACAAUGAAGUGAUUUACCUAAGUGUUGAUUCUGAUUGUUGUGAGACCAAUAAAGUUUUCCAAAGUAUA